rnacentral:rRNA from 1 species
UACGUAGGGUGUGAGCGUUGUCCGGAAUUAUUGGGCGUAAAGAGCUUGUAGGCGGUUUGUCGCGUCUGCUGUGAAAAUCCGGGGCUCAACCCCGGACUUGCAGUGGGUACGGGCAGACUAGAGUGUGGUAGGGGAGACUGGAAUUCCUGGUGUAGCGGUGAAAUGCGCAGAUAUCAGGAGGAACACCGAUGGCGAAGGCAGGUCUCUGGGCCACUACUGACGCUGAGAAGCGAAAGCAUGGGGAGCGAACAGG